rnacentral:rRNA from 1 species
AUACGAAAGGUGCAAGCGUUGUUCGGAUUUACAGGGCGUAAAGAGAGUGUAGGUGGUUUAUUUAGUCGGAUGUGAAAUCCCGGGGCUCAACCUCGGAACUGCAUUCGAUACUGAUAGGCUAGAGUUUGGGAGGGGUAAGCGGAAUUCCGUGUGUAGCAGUGAAAUGCGUAGAUAUACGGAGGAACACCUGAGGCGAAGGCGGCUUACUGGACCAAUACUGACACUGAGACUCGAAAGCGUGGGUAGCAAACAGGAUUAGAAACCCCAGUAGUCC